rnacentral:sRNA from 1 species
UUUCAUAAUAGUACAUAGCCUCCUUAUGUAUGGUGAUGCCAAGCUGCAUAAAAGUGGAGCGUCAGCUUCACGAUAUGCGAAUAUUGGGUAGAAUUGUGGGAGUACGAAGUACGGAUCAAUUCGUAUGGCA